rnacentral:rRNA from 1 species
AUUGAACGCUGGCGGCAUGCCUUACACAUGCAAGUCGAACGGCAGCACGGGUGCUUGCACCUGGUGGCGAGUGGCGAACGGGUGAGUAAUACAUCGGAACGUACCUUAUCGUGGGGGAUAACGCAGCGAAAGUUGCGCUAAUACCGCAUACGCCCUGAGGGGGAAAGCGGGGGACCGUAAGGCCUCGCGCGAUUAGAGCGGCCGAUGUCUGAUUGGUUUGAUGGUGAGGUAAAAGCUCACCAAGGCGAUGAUCAGUAGCUGGUCUGAGAGGACGAUCAGCCACACCGGGAGUGAGACAGGGCCGAGACUCCUACGGGAGGCGGCGGGGGGGAAUUUUGGACAAUGGGGGAAACCCUGAUCCAGCAAUGCCGCGUGAGUGAAGGAGGCCUUCGGGUUGUAAAGCUCUUUUGUCAGGGAAGAAACAGCAGCUCUAACACAGUCUGCGAAUGACGGUACCUGAAGAAUAAGGGUCGGCUAACUCCGUGCCAGCAGCCGCAGUAA